AUGUUUUAAUUAGUAUUUGGGAUGUCAUAUACAAGUAUCUUCUAAGCUUAGUCUUCGGGUUGGCAUGAAUUCUGAUGGUUGCUUAUUGGGUAACUGGAAUACCCUCCUACGAUAACAUCGUCCCCUCUUCUUCAAAAAGAGUCAUCCUCGAAUCCAUCUCACUGUUACGUAGCGAUCUUGGAUACAACAAAGAAGUUAUAAAGUAGUGUAAGGUGUUAAGAUUGUACUGGGGCCUGGUGGAACACAUGCGCAUGUGGAAUUGCGCCAACGCU
rnacentral:lncRNA from 1 species